GGAUUCCUUGAGCAUUGAAGUGGUGCCCUACAAGAGCUGAUAUGGUAUGAGUUGGGUGAAUUGUGUGUUAUGGUCCUACUAUUAGGAUUGGGCAUGGCAAUAUGGAGAAGGAUGAGACUAGACAUUCAGAUUGGUUCAUCUGGCUCUCUUAGGUUUGACUGAGUUUCGAUCAUUUCUAAAAUAUCCUUAUAAAUUGGAUUGGAUAGGCAACCAGGUUCUGAUUCAAUUGGUCAAACUGCUCAAUCUAGUCUAAUUUUAAAAACAUUGGCUAAGAUGUGCCUGGUUUUAGUUUUGCUUUAUAAAAGAGA
rnacentral:lncRNA from 1 species